AGCCUGAACGCUGGCGGCGUGGCUAAGACAUGCAAGUCGUACGGAUGUAGCAAUACAUCAGUGGCGAACGGGAGAGUAAUGAAUCGCUAAUGUGCCCCGGACUCUGGGAUAGCUAGCCGAAAGGUUAGGUAAUACCAGAUGAUAUAACCCUACCGCAUGGCAGGGUUCUCAAAGGUCCGCCGGUCUGGGAGCAGGCGAUUUCGUAUCAGCUAGUUGGUGAGGUAACGGCUCACCAAGGCGACGACGCGUAGCCGGACUGAGAGGUUGGCCGGCCUCAUUGGGACUGAGACACUGCCCAGACUCCUACGGGGGGCUGCAGUAACGAAUCUUCCGCAAUGCACGAAAGUGUGACGGAGCGACGCCGCGUGUGGGACGAAGCCCUUCGGGGUGUAAACCACUGUCAGGGGAUAGAAAGUUCUGAUCAUCCCCAGAGGAAGGCACGGCUAACUCUGCGCCAGCAGCCGCGGU
rnacentral:rRNA from 1 species